rnacentral:rRNA from 1 species
UACAGAGGGGGCAAGCGUUGUUCGGAAUUACUGGGCGUAAAGCGUGCGUAGGUGGUGAGUUAAGUCUGUCGUGAAAGCCCCGGGCUCAACCUGGGAAUGGCGAUGGAUACUGGCUCGCUAGAGUGCGGUAGAGGCGAGUGGAAUUCCUGGUGUAGCGGUGAAAUGCGUAGAUAUCUGGAGGAACACCAGUGGUGAAGGCGGCAUCCUGGACCGAGAUUGACGCUGAGGCGCGAAAGCUAGGGGAGCAAACGGG